rnacentral:rRNA from 1 species
UAUGUGAAGCUGACCAAUACUAAUUGCUCGUGAGGCUUGACUAUACAACACCCA